GUCCAGGCUUGCACCCCUCACAUUUUUGUAAAUAUUUUGUUAUAUCUUUUCAUGUGACAACACUGAAGAAAUGACUCUCUGCUACAAUGUAAAGUAGUAAGUGUACAGACUGUAUAACAGUGUAAAUUUACUGUCCCGUCAAAAUAACUCCACACACAGCCAUUAAUUUCUAAACCAUUGUCAAGAAAGGUGAGUACACCCCUAAGUGGAAUUAGCCAUUUU